CUGAGGAUAACUUUUGAUUAUCUGCAAACACUUCAGAAACCUGAGUCGUGUAAUUUGCUGCCUACACAUCUGCAAAGUACUGCAAUGUUGGAAAACUCCUAUAACACAAGGCCCAGCAGGGGAAACGAUGCUGAGGGGAAACCAGCACAGGUUUGUCACAGGUAGAUCCUGCCUGACAAAGAGAAACCUUGUAGCCUUCUAGGACCAGGUCACACACUGCCUGAACGUGGGAGCCGAGGCUGGUGUCAUCUUCCUGGACUUUAGGAAGGCCUUCAACACAGUUUCGCACCCUAUCCUCAUUCGGAAGCUAGCAGACUGUGGAGUGGAUGCCUACAUGGUCAGCACGACUGCACUGAUACAGCAACAAAUAAUCCUAUGAAUGAAGGGAAGAUCCACUGGACAGCACCCCUAUAGCAACACAUCUCUAGUGUUCAUCUGGGAUUAUACAGAGCACUGGAAUCACUGAGUUUUCACUGAUGGAACAAUAUGGGCACUCUUCUUUGGCUCAUUUAUCACCUAUGAGUUCUCCAGGAUAUUAAUCAAAGACGAUAUAACCUAGUGGCAAAAGUUUCUUGCUAUGCAUCUUCAAUAUAUGGUUCAAAAGGGGAUACCAUGCUUAUAUUUUUCAUUAUUGGAUAUAUAUAUCUAAGAGAGAAGACUAUACCCAGGCAGCAGAUGGAAGAGAGAAAGGCCCAAGUUUCUCAAUCCAGUUUUUACUAAAUUGACAGAAAGAUCUUUGACUCCAGUGGGCAUGCAAUCAACCAUUAUAUUGGAAAACUGAGGAAGUUAAUGUGAAAUAGAUGUUGACACAAUAGUAAAAUGCCAUAUGGUGCAUUUUGAAAAGAGAGAAAGUAUGAGUAUUUUUUGUUAUGAUUGUAAGACAUCAUAUCUCUGUAUCUAUAUAUUUUAAGUCUGGAGCAAAGUAGGGAAAAUCAUAGAAUCAUAGUUUCACAGAAAAUUAGGGUUGGAAGGGACAUCAGGAGGUUAUCUAGUUCAGCCCCCUGCUCAAAACAGAACCGUCCCCAACUAGAUCAUCCCAGCCAAGGAUUUGCCUAGUCACAUCUUUAAAAACCUCCAAGGAUGGAGAUUCCAUAACCUUUCCUGGGUAACCUGUUCCAGUGUUUUACUACCCUCCUUAUGAGAGAGUUUUUCUUAAUAUAUAACCUAAAUUUCCCCUGCUGCAACUUGAAACCAUUGUUCUUUGUUCUGUCAUUUGCCACCACAGAAAACAGUAUAGCUUUAUACUCUUUGAAAACACCUUUCAAGUAGUCUUCUCUUCUCCAGACUAAAAAAGACCAGUUCCCUUAUCCUCUCCUCAGAAGUCACGUGCCCCAGACCCCUAACCAUUUUCAUUGCCCUCUGCUGGACUCUUUCCCAUUUGUCUACAUCCUUUCUGUAGUGGGGGGCCUCAAACUGGACAUACUAGUUGAGAUGUGGCCUUACCAGUGCCAAAUAGAGAGGAAUAAUCACUUUCCUUGAUCUCCUGACAACUCUCCUACUAAUGCAGCCCAAUAUACCAUUAGCUUUCUUCACAACAAGGGCACACUUUUGGCUUAUGUUCCACUUACCGGCUACUGUAACCCUCAGUUACUUUUCUGCAGAGCUGCUGCUUACCCUAGCAGGCCCCAGGCUAUAGAGGUGCUGGGGAUUGUUUUAUCCUAAGUGCAGAACUUUACACUUCUUAUUGAACCUCAUUAACUCUUUUGGUCCAAUCCUCCAAGUUGUUGAGGUCUCUGAAUCCUGAAUCAUAGCCCUACCCUCCAGUGUAUCUACUACUCCCCCCAACUUGGUAUCAUCCACACACUUGAUGUAGAUGCAGUCCAUUCCAUCUUUCAGACCAUUAAUGAAGAUACUGAACAAAACCAAUCCCAGGAUCGAACUCUGGGGCACCCCAUUUGAUACCCACUGCCAACUAGACAUCCAGCCUUUGAUUACUACUCUUUAAGUUCAACAAUUUAGCUAGCUCAUAGAAGACAAUCAGGUUGGGCAGGCAUGAUUUGCUCUUGAUGAAUCCAUGCUGACUGUUCCUAAUCAUGUUAUCCUCCAAGUGAUUAGAAACAGAUUCCUUGAGAACCUACUCAAUGAUUUUUCCAGGAACUGAGGUAAGGAUGACCAAUUUGUAAUUCCCUGGUUACUCCUUCUUCCCUUUCUCAAAGAUGGACAUUAUAUUUGCUUUCAAUCAUCUGGGACCUCUCCUGAGUGCCUUGAGUUUUCAAAGAUAAUAGCCAGUAGCUCUGAGAUCACAUUGACCAAUGCCUUUAGCACACUUAGGUGCAUCCUCUCUGGCCCCAUGGACUUGUAUACAUCAGCCUCUCAUAAUAGUCCCUAAACUGUUUUUUUGUGGCUGCUCACCUCCUCCCCAAACUGCUUCCAAGUACAGUGGUUUGGGUGCUGACCUUUCCUGUGAAGACUGAGGUGAAAAAGGCAUUGAAUACUUCAGCCUUUUUGCAUCAUCUGUCACUAGGUUGCCUCCCCCUAUUUAGUUAGGACCCAUACUUUCCCGAAACUUCCUCUUAUUGCUAGCAUUCUAGUAGAAAUGGUUCUUGUUACCCUUAAUGUCCCUUGCUAGCUGCAACUCCAAUUGAGCUUUGUCUUUCCUGAUUUCAUCCUUGCAUGGCCAAGCAAUACUCUCUUACUCCCCCUAGUUGUUUGUCCAAGUUUUGACUUCUUAUCAGCCCCUUUUUGUUUUUUAGCUUAAUGAAGAGUUCCCUAUUAAGCUAAAAUGGUCUUCUGCCAUACUUGGUAGUCUUCCUGAUCAUUGGGAUGGUUUGUUCCUGCACCUUCAGUAAGGUUUCUUUAAAAUACAGCCAGCUUUCCUGAACUCCUUUCCCCCUCAGAUUGGCCUCCCUGGGGAUCCUGCCCAUGAAUUCUCUGAAUGAGUCAAAGUCUGCUUUUCUGAAGCCCAGAGUCUUUACUUUGCUGCUCUCUUUCCUUCCUUCCCUCAGGAUCCUGAACUUAAUCAUCUGGUGGUCACUGCUGCCCAAGCUGCCAUCCACUACUACAUUCCCCACCAAUUCUUCCCUGUUUGUGAGCAACAGGUCACCCUACUUGGAUGUUCCAGCACUUGCACCAGGAAGUUGUCCCCAACACUCUCCAAAAACUUCCUGGAUUGCCUGUGCACUGCUGUAUUGCCUUUCCAGCAGAUGUCAGGGUGAUUUAAGUCCCCUAGAGAACUGGGGCCUGUUAAUGGGAAACUUCCACUAGCUGUUUGAAGAAAGCAUUAUAAACCUCAUCCUCUUGGCCUGGUGGUCUAUAGCAGAACCCCACCAUGAUAUCACCCUUGUUGUUUUCCCCUCUGACCUGAACCCAAAGAGUUUCAACAGUCCUAGCUCCGGUUUCAUACUGGAGUUCUAAGCAAUCCUACAGCUUUUUUACAUACAGCACAACUCUUCCUCUUCUCCCCUGCCUGUCCUUCCUUAACAGUUUAUACCCUUCCAUGGCAGUACUCCAGUCAUGCAAACUAUCUUUCCAAGUCUAUUAUUCCAAUCACACCAUAAUGCAGGGAAUGUGUAAGCACUUCAAAUUCCUCCUGCUUGUCCUCCAGGCUCUAUGUAUUCAUGUAUAGAUCCUGAAAUUACUAUCUGAUUGCCCUACUUUCUCAGGCAGAAUGAUAAGUCCUUCCCUGUUUCCCCUUCCUGCUUGUACUUCCUUCAGGUCACCCACUUCAUCACUUACCUCAGGGCUUUGGCUUUUAUCUUUGGAAAUGUGAAGAAACAUUGUAGAUGACUAACAGUAAAAAACAAACAAAUUAAAUAUUAGAGCCAUUGUUUAUAUAUCCAAAAAGGCUUCACAAAUAUUUUCUUCUAAUAAUUCUGUAAGAGAAACAGGCCUGUGCGAAGCAGCUAGUAUUCGCUUUGGAUUCAGAUUCAGCCAAUUCAGGGGACAGCAAUUCGAUUCAGUGAUUCAAAUCACUGUCCUGAUUUGAUUCAGCUGAAUCUGAUUCAGAGAUUUGGCUGCUACUGAAUCUCCGAAUCAGUCAGGCCAGGCCCAUCCCCCACCCACUCUCCCAGCCUGGGAAUGGCUACCCUGCCCGCUCCAGCUCCCAGCACUUGUUAUAAACAUAGCCCCAACUCGGCAGGUGCUGCCAGGUGGGGGGUGAUUCCUGCUGCCCCAUGCUGUGUGGGGGCCUCUGCACAAGCCCCCCAAAUGCCUCCUCCCUCCCCCAGCCCCCCCCAUGGGUGCCUUGCCUGGGUCAGCUCCAGCGUUUUAAGAAUAACAAACAAACAAAAAAAAGCCCCAGACUCACCACUCCUGCCAGUGAGGAGUGAUCCCUGCUGCCCUGUGCCCCAAUGGGGGCUCUGCAUGAGCCCCUGAAGCCCUGAUGCUGCUGCAGGAGCAGUGAGUCCCAGUGCAUUUCUUGGGGGGGGGGUGGUAUUAAAGGGCCAGAGCUGGCCUGGGAGGA